CUGGGCUGAGCCAGCUGCGCCGGCCGGGCCCGGGUAACCACGGCAACGCGGCGGCAGGAAUGCGCUUCAUGCAAGGCCCUGCUCCUCCCGCGGGAUGCGCAACAAGUGAAGCAAAACUAGUGAGGCGAGAGGGAGGCUAGGGGCAGGGGACCGGCGCCCGGAGACCUGACUUGUUCAGAAAUCUGAGGGCCAGCCACUCUGUGGACUCCCAUUAUGCCAAACCCCUCCUCGCUGGGUCCCCCGCUUGUUUCAAGGGAAGGAAUGGAGACCCCUGGACACACCCUCAGGUCUUUGUGGGUGCAGUGCAAGGGGUCUGCGGGCGAAGGGCAGCUGACACGAGUUCGAUCUCAAGUUCUCUUGGAUCAAUAGAAGUCCCUUCAAAGUGGUCCACGUCUAAAGAUGUGUGACCAUCAUACCAGCUUUCCUGGACGGUGCCAGUUUAUGCCUGUGGAUGGGCCAUAGUUAUUUUAAAAGCUCCCUCCCGGUUCACUCUUAAGUAACCCUAAAUUAUAAAGCCACCCUACUAUCUAAAGUCUUUUUAGGCCCAAAGAGAUCCUAAUCCAAAUCUUAGGUCUUCUCUGAACUCCUCCAGAAGGCCUGUAUAGCCCAAUCCAGGUAUUUAGGUUAAGCAGCAAACAGCCUGUAAUUAACAACGAAGGGCCAUCCACCGAGAAAAUGGGGACCUGCGAAGACAGAAUACUCUCAAAUCCAAGGGCAGGAAGACUUCCAUGACCCGAUUAGGGUCACCACUGGCAAGGCCACACAGAUGUCACUGAGAAAAUAAACAAGACCAACAGUGGCUUCUGAGCAAGCUCAGGGCAGAGCAGGCCAGCUCUAGGAAAGAGAGGGAGCUACUUCUCGUCCCUGUCACCUCAUCGCAUGUGGUUCGGUUGGGGCUGAGGGGAUAUACAUUCCUCCCCCAACACGCAGACUCCCCAGCAAAAGGAUUUCAGCAGAAACUAUGCAGAAAGAGGAACUUUAUCCUCCUGAGAUGGAAGGGAUGAGAGAGCUCAGAUGCCUGGAUCUGCUGGGGCCACUAUCUUUGCCCCCUGUGGAAAGAGUCUGCCUAAAAAUGAAGCAAUCGCGGAGGAACGGAGCAGGAGCCCAGGCAGCUAGAAGCAGAUGUCUCCAGUACUGCAGAGCCAAACAAUAGAGAUGUCUGCAGUUCUACACCCUCACUUGGAAAGGAACUACCAACAGGAGCCUCCUAACCCACAUCUGACCGUGAGAAGAUUAAGUCACUGAUGUUUGAGGGUUGUUUGUGUAGAAGCUAACAAGUGCUUUCCUAACAUUCGAUCUUUUUCUGAGACUGAUUCUCCAGUCUUUUUUCAGUUUUGAUAGCCUUUCAGUAACUUCCUUUCCUGCUUGAAUAAUAACCAGAACCUACUUCUAUUGCUUUCCAGCAUAGUCUAUGAUGGAUCUAUCACUAAAUUCAAAUAGCCAGAUGAUUAUAAAAAAUGAGAUUAUACGACGUUCUGUCACUCAAGACUGUAGAUGUUUAUUGUAUUGACCAUUUAGAGUCAACAAAAUACAUACCCAACACUGACUACAUUUCAAAGGCACAAAAUAUAUUUUAAGACACAGACUCACUCACUAUGUAGUCCAGACCUCAAACUCACGAUCCCCCUACCCCAGC